CAUCUGCCAGCAGAAAUCCCUUUCAUAAUGGUUUGUAAACCUUACAAGAUUCUGCAAUAAUUGCUCGACGGUGACUUCACACAGGGAAAUGGUCUGGAACUUGCUCUGAAAUUUAAUUCUGUGGCCCACCAAAAAUUUUAUCACAUUUGUAUUUUUUAAUUCAACCAUCUUACACUUCUGGUGCUUCCUCAUUUAUUCUGCAUUACCCACGAGAAAAUCAGGACUGAUG